rnacentral:rRNA from 1 species
AACGAACGCUGGCGGCAUGCCUAACACAUGCAAGUCGAACGAAACCGUCGGGCCUAGUUGCGCACGGCUGCGUAACGCGGGGGAAGCUGCCCUUGGGUUCGGAAUAACUCCCUGAAAGGGGUGCUCAUACCGGAGAAUCUCUUCCGACCAAAGAUUUUUCGCCUUUGGAUGGGCCCUCGUUGGAUUAGCCGGUUGGUAGGGUAAAAGCCUACCAAGGCGGGGUUACAUAGCUGGUCUGAGAGGAUGAUCAGCCACACUGGGACUGCGACACGGCCCAGACUCGUACGGAAGGGAGGAGUGGGGAAUAUUGGAGAAUGGGCGAUAGCCUGAUCAAGCAAUGCCGGGUAAGUGAUGAAGGCCGUAGGGAUGUAAAGCUCUUUUAGCCGGGAUGAUAAUGACGGUACCGGGAGAAUAAGCACCGGCUAACUACGUG